CCUGAUCCAGCAACSCCGCGUGGGKGAGAAGGCCUUYGGGUUGUAAACCCCUUUCAGGGGGGAAAAAAAGGCUGGGGUUAAUACCCCGGGGGCUUGACGGUACCUCCAAAGGAAGCCCCGGCUAACUCCGUGCCAGCAGCCGCGGUAAUACGGAGGGGGCAAGCGUUGUUCGGAAUUAUUGGGCGUAAAGGGCGCGUAGGCGGUCUGUUAAKUCAGAWGUGAAAUCCCUSGGCUCAACCCAGGAACUGCCUUUGAAACUGCCUGGCUUGAGUYYGGGAGAGGGGAGGGGAAUUYCCGGUGUAGCGGUGAAAUGCGUAGAWAUCGGGAGGAACACCAGUGGCGAAGGCGGCUUCCUGGACCGAUYCUGACGCUGAGGCGCGAAAGCGUGGGGAGCAAACAGGAUUAGAUACCCUGGUAGUCCACGCCGUAAACGAUGAGCACUAGGUGUUGCGGGUAUUGACCCCUGCMGUGCCGMAGCUAACGCAUUAA
rnacentral:rRNA from 1 species